GAUCGUUUAGAAGAAAAUGUCGCUUAUCCCUCGCGGCUGGGGUUUUGGGUCGAGCAUCUUCGAUCCCUGGGAUCCCUUCGAGGGCUUCCCGUUCGACACCUCCCUCUCCUCCUUCCCUCGUCUUUCCCUUCCUAGUGACUCGUCCGCCUUCGCCAACGCCCGCAUCGACUGGAAGGAGACCCCGGAGGCCCACGUCUUCAAGGCCGACCUCCCUGGCGUCAAAAAGGAGGAGCUGAAGGUGGAGGUGGAGGAGGGAAACCUCCUCCAGAUCAGCGGCGAGCGGAGCCGGGAGCAGGAGGAAAAGACCGACACGUGGCACCGCGUCGAGAGGAGCAGCGGCAAGUUCUUGAGGCGGUUCC
rnacentral:lncRNA from 1 species